rnacentral:rRNA from 1 species
UAUGUGAUCGUCUCUCGCAUAUCAAUAAGCGGAGGAAAAGAAACUAACAAGGAUUCCCCUAGUAACGGCGAGUGAAGCGGGAAGAGCUCAAAUUUGAAAUCUUAAAGGGUUUCCCUUUACGAAUUGUAGUUUAAAGAAGUGUUUUCUGUUGAGGUUUUGGUAAAAGUUCUUUGGAAUAGGACAUCAUAGAGGGUGAGAAUCCCGUAUUUGACCUUUACUUUCAACUUUGUGAUACACUUUCAAAGAGUCGGAUUGUUUGGGAAUGCAGUCCAAAAUGGGUGGUAAAUUUCAUCUAAAGCUAAAUAUUGGCGAGAGACCGAUAGCGAACAAGUACCGUGAGGGAAAGAUGAAAAGAACUUUGAAAAGAGAGUUAAACAGUACGUGAAAUUGUCAAAAGGGAAGCGUUUGACACCAGUGUUGUUUUUCUGAAAAUCAAUUAAAGAACUGUUUAUGCUAAGCUGUUUAGACUUUAUCAGCUAACUGUUUAGUUUUGAGCUUUUCUUUAAUGCACUUUUCAGUUAACAAGUCAACAUCAAUUUCUUUUGCUGUAAAAAAGCUUGAGGAAGGUGGCUUGAGAUUCGUCUUAAGUGUUUAUAGCCUCUUGCCUAUGCAGUCGGAGAGAUUGAGGUCUGCAGCGUAGAUCCUUCGGGGCUAAAUGCAUUUGUGCUAAGUUAUAGCAUUUCAUAGACAACUUGUUGACUAUGAUUUGUCUUGUAGCUUACUCGCUUAUGUUAUUUUACCUACGCUUAGGAUGUUGAAGACUCUACAGAGAU